rnacentral:rRNA from 1 species
AGAGUUUGACCCUGGCUCAGGAUGAACGCUGGCGGCGUGCCUAACACAUGCAAGUCGAACGGGAAGUUCACCUUCGGGUGAAUGGAGAGUGGCGCACGGGUGAGUAACACGUAGCUCAUCUACCCUCGAGAAGGGGAUAACAACUGGAAACAGUUGCUAAUACCCUAUAUGCUCACGGACUGUAGAAGUUUGUGAGAAAAGCUCCGGCGCUCGAGGAUGAGGCUGCGGACCAUCAGCUAGUUGGUAAGGUAAAGGCUUACCAAGGCGACGACGGUUAGGGGACCUGAGAGGGUGGCCCCCCACACUGGAACUGAGACACGGUCCAGACUCCUACGGGAGGCAGCAGUGAGGAAUAUUGCACAAUGGGCGCAAGCCUGAUGCAGCGACGCCGCGUGGGCGAAGAAGGUUUUCGGAUCGUAAAGCCCUUUUCUGUGUGACGAGGAAGGACGGUAGCACAGGAAAAAGUGUCGGCUAACUACGUGCCAGCAGCCGCGGUAAAACGUAGGACGCAAGCGUUAUCCGGAGUUACUGGGCGUAAAGCGCGAGCAGGCGGAUUGUUAAGUUAGCCAUGAAAGCUCCCGGCUAAACUGGGAGAGGCUGGUUGAUACUGGCAGUCUAGAGUACGAGAGAGGAAGGUAGAAUUCCGCGUGUAGUGGUGAAAUGCGUAGAUAUGCGGAGGAAUACCAGUGGCGAAGGCGGCCUUCUGGCUCGAUACUGACGCUGAGGCGCGAAAGCAUGGGUAGCGAACGGGAUUAGAAACCCCGGUAGUCCAUGCCGUAAACGAUGUACACUAGACGUUCGUAUGUCACUGACAUGUGAGUGUCGAAGCAAACGCGAUAAGUGUACCGCCUGGGGAGUACGGUCGCAAGGCUAAAACUCAAAGGAAUUGACGGGGGCCCGCACAAGCAGCGGAGCGUGUGGUUUAAUUCGAGACUACGCGAAGAACCUUACCUGGGUUUGACAUCCUAUGACAGCUUACGAAAGUAAGUUUUCCUUCGGGACAUAGUGACAGGUGCUGCAUGGCUGUCGUCAGCUCGUGCCGUGAGGUGUUCGGUUAAGUCCGCAAACGAGCGCAACCCCCGGCGUUAGUUACAAGUGUCUAACGCAACUGCCCGUGGCAAACGGGAGGAAGGUGGGGAUGACGUCAAGUCAGCAUGGCCUUUAUAUCCAGGGCUACACACACGCUACAAUGGUACGUACAGUGGGUCGCGAAGCCGCGAGGUGGAGCCAAUCCCCCAAAGCGUACCUCAGUUCGGAUUGUAGGCUGCAACUCGCCUGCAUGAAGUCGGAGUUGCUAGUAAACGCGUAUCAGCACGGCGCGUUGAAUACGUUCCCGGGCCUUGUACACACCGCCCGUCACGUCACGGGAGUUGGUCACGCCUGAAGUCGGGAAGCUAACCGCAAGGGGGCUACCGCCUAGGGCAGGAUCGAUGACUGGGACGAAGUCGUAACAAGGUA